rnacentral:rRNA from 1 species
UUGACGGGGGCCCGCACAAGCGGAGGAACAUGUGGUUUAAUUCGAUGAUACGCGAGGAACCUUACCCGGGCUUGAAAUGCAUCUGACCGGCCUUGAAAGAGGUUUUUCCCCUUCGGGGCAGAUGUGUAGGUGCUGCAUGGUUGUCGUCAGCUCGUGCCGUGAGGUGUCGGCUUAAGUGCCAUAACGAGCGCAACCCUCAUCAUUAGUUACCAUCAGGUAAGGCUGGGGACUCUAAUGAGACUGCCAUCGUAAGAUGUGAGGAAGGUGGGGAUGACGUCAAAUCAGCACGGCCCUUACGUCCGGGGCGACACACGUGUUACAAUGGGUGGUACAAAGGGCAGCUACCUGGCGACAGGAUGCUAAUCUCCAAAACCACUCUCAGUUCGGAUCGGAGUCUGCAACUCGACUCCGUGAAGCUGGAUUCGCUAGUAAUCGCGCAUCAGCCACGGCGCGGUGAAUACGUUCCCGGGCCUU